UACGGAGGGUGCAAGCGUUAUCCGGAUUCACUGGGUUUAAAGGGUGCGUAGGCGGAUAGGUAAGUCCGUGGUGAAAUCCUGCAGCUUAACUGCAGAACUGCCAUGGAUACUAUUUAUCUUGAAUGUCGUGGAGGUUAGCAGAAUAUGUCAUGUAGCGGUGAAAUGCUUAGAUAUGACAUAAGAAUACCCAUUGCGAAGGCAGCUAACUACGCGAUAAUUGACGCUGAUGCACGAAAGCGUGGGGAUCAAACAGG
rnacentral:rRNA from 1 species